ensembl:lncRNA
GUGAGGAUGCUCUUUGUAGACUUCCUUUUUACAUUCAACGCUAUAGUUCCGGGGGAGACUUGUCACCAAACUCACCAAUUUAGGGCUCUCCCAUCCAUCUGCCAACAGAUUAUGGACUUCCUGACCAACCGGCCUCAAAGAGGGAGAAUAGGCGCACUCAUCUCCUCCCAACUCCCACUCAGCGCUGGCGCCCCUCAGGGCUGUGUACUGAGUUCCCUGCUAUAUUCUCUUUCAAUUACGGCUGUACCACCACCUACCCUACCGACACCCUCGUCAGGAAAAGGGCAGACACGGAACCGCACCACAUUAACUGGGAAUGUGUGGAGAUGGUUCCUGUCUUCAAGUUCCUUGGCAAACACAUCACAGAGAACCUCUCUUGGUCUACCACUUCCCACCACAUGGUCAAGAAGGACCAGUAGCAACCGCACUUCCUGAGAAUACUCAGGAAAAACCCCACUAGAGGAAGAAACUGCUGUAGCGCUGCUCCAUCGAAAGCGUUCUGGCAAUCUGCAUAUCACCUUGGUAUGCCACUGCUCAGCAGCGGACAAGAAGGCCUUAAGUGCACAUGUAGUGUGAAUGUAAGGUUAAGCCCCUCUGAGGACUGUACACACUGUUUGCACGGUUUCUAUGCUACCUCAUUGUCACUUUAAGCAUGCACUGGGG